ACUUCAAAGGUUACUAUUAAAAAAUUAUAUAGUGAGUAUUAUGCAACCAGUGGGUGAGAGUCUAUGCGCUUUUUUUCUAGGGACUCGGGGGCGCGGCGAGGGAGGGGCCCCGCUGUGCCCGCCGCUGGGGGCGAGGAGGGCGUCGGAGGGGAGUGGUCGGGGAGAGGAGGAGCGGCAGCGGCCACUGGAGGCCGUCCGUUUCGGACACGCCUCGGCCGCCGCCGCCCCACGAGAGACCGGCGACGAGUGAGCCCUCCUCCCCUAGAGCGCACGCCCACCGCCGACAGGCCACAAGCCGAGGCCCCGUCGCAGGAACGAACGCCGCCUCCGCCAGAAGCCGCACGCAGCGCCGCAGACCAGCGCCACCACCCACGUGGCAGCGCCACGCGCUCCAGCAUCAGCAGCCCGGACAAGCCAGGGCUAGGCUAGACCCUAGGCGUCCGCCGCCAACCGCGCCCGCCACCUCCUUCCGAGCCGAGGAGACCACGCGCAGGACCUCCGGAGGACGUCGCAGAAGAGGCCGAUCCACGGCACCACCAAAUCCGACCUCGAAGCCAGCCAGCCGACGGCUAGACCAUCGAACAGGCCGCUCAACCCCACCCCACCGCCGGGAGGGAGGGACGAGCCCCGAGAAGACACCGCGACGUCGUCGUCACCCAACGACCUAGACCGGACAAAGCCGGCACAAGCCGAGCAGCCGCAGAUCGGCCGCCGCUCCUAACACCACCGAAGACGAACCAGUACCGCGCUACCGAAGCACCCUCCACACGCCCAGUCGCCUCCACGAUACGCACCCCCACACCCACACCCACAACGAGGCCCGCUUUCGAACGGCGCGAGAACGGCCGGCUACCGCAGCCACAGACACCCGCAGCAAAGUGGAAGAACCUCCGCGGCGGCACCUCAGGUGGGAAGUGCGUGGGAACCUAGGUCAAGAAGCCCGCUUUCGGAUUCUGGGUCAGUCCAGCCCGCUGCCGCAGCCGUAGCAACGAAGGGAGAAACCCCGCAGCGGACCUUCUUGAAACCUAGAACAAACGUGCGAGGUACCCAACCAGUACCACCACGCCGGACGAGUCCUGGCUCCCACCACACAAGAAGAAGUCCACAAAGAGAAGCCAACAGGAUGCACACCAGAGACCGGACGAGAUACGUACGAGUACGGGUACGAGACAACUCCGCUCGGAGUCCGAGAACCAGAGCAGAACCAAGUAGAAACGAAUUACUGCUGCGUUACUGCGGAGGGGCUGAACGAUUAGCAGAACUUGAAGGCACCGCCUCGCGAGUCAGUUCCUGACAACCGUAGCUGUACCGAACCCGCUUAAUUAAACCGCUAAUUCUUCUGUACCACCACAAUAGAGUAACAAUCUUGUCCUAACAUAAAGCUACUGUCUUCGGUCAAGUACUCAGUUAACCGGUUGCUGUGGGACUUAUUCAACUCUCAUGAGUUACCUCACUUUAAACUUAUGUCGAUGACCUUAUAGGUAUGUGUGCCUAAGCGGCCAGUCGUUUUAUGCGUCCAACUACGGAACCGGUACCUGUAUGAAAACCUUAGAUCCGGUUUUCUACUGGUUCCAUUACGUAAACAUCUCGAGUACGUCUACUUUGGGCUCCGAUAUUGUUUUCUUACAGAUUUCAAAGACUGACUUUUACUAGUGGAGGAGAAAUAACUACUCUACCUCAGGUGGCGUCUUACCCUGAGCUAAUUUUUUGUGGACAAUACACUCAGAUGAUCUCGAAUAUAGCAACAAGAAUGUUCUUCAUUUUUACACCGGUGUAUAACACAUCUAGUAUUUCUUAUAGUCGACGAGUUGGAGUCUCUAGACUACUAGUUCUAUACGUGCAUAGUAUGAUGAUACACAUUAAUGUUAUUAUUAAUUAAUUACGAAGAUACACUAAGAUGCUCUUCGGUUAAUUAAUACAUAGGAGAGACAUGUACGUACGUAUGAACGUCCCAAGACUGGCAACACCUACAAGUCUACCUCCUCUGUUGUCUUUCCUUCUACCACUUAAACUUGAACUAUUGAAACAACCCGCAUCACUACUCUACCUGAAAAAAAUAGCGGCAUCAGGACUGCACUUCAACAACACACACCCCCCCUAACGACAACAACCCUUUAGUCGAUAGCAGUCUCUCUCAAAGGUGCCGUUUCACUAUUGUCCGCCUGUGAUGUAUUACGUGUCGACCCACCUACAUGGGGUAGGAAAGCUAAACUGCCUGAAUACGGCCUCUAACGAAAACUUAAAAAUAGGCCUAUUAGAACUCCGUUUCCUUUGACGUAAUUAAUCAUACUACCUUCCUUUUCUGGGUUAAGUUCCCACGACAUUUUAGGAGGCAGUUUUGUUAACAGAGCAACAAUAACUACCAGACGUCAGCUUCGUACUGACCCUGAACUAUUUUUUUCGAAACAAAAGGGUCGGACAAUCUCCUUCUUGGCAACAGUAAUGUGCACUUCUUUCGUAGCGGUGUAUAACAUGAUUAUUUUUCCUACUUUAAGAGUUACAGUUUCCAGAUUUUCUACUAAACCGGGAAUUAGAGAAGUUCUUCUAAUUAGAGUUUCGGCUCUUUGACAGAGUUAGAAAGGGACUCCAUCAUCUUGGUUAAAAUUUCGUAUAGUACAGGUUCACACCACCCGAAGGUCUUCAUUAUCAACGACGUCCUUUUUAACGGUAGGGUAUGAGUCUCUCUUAAUCAAGGAACCUCGAAAAGUUACGACUUAACUACCUUUAUAACCUCUUGAGCAAUUCGAAAGGAUCUAAUUUCCCAUAGAAAACAACCUACGUUAGGAUAAAACUACGGACGAGUCUACUUGAGUUCGGUACAUAGAAGAUAUACAGUCAUAAGGGAUACCUGGUUUCGUAAUCCGUUUCCGCAAACGAGUCCGCCACCUAACGUCUCCCAAUGAGGAGACCACCACCACCACCACGACGUCUCCUCUUCCCUCUUUUCGAGAAGAGGCUUGAGUACUUUAACUCGUAUAAUAUAGACCUAGUCGCCUGUAGUAGUUGCUGUUUUUCGACCUACCAGUUACCGAAGAAGGCACUUAUGUAGUUCAGUGCCGGUUACCUUCUAUUAGAACACAAACGUGAUCUCCCCCCAACGUCGGGGUCGAGCGCUGAGUGCCCUGUUGUGGAGUGGUAUUCGUCGACAACCCUGUCCCUACUCUAACACAAGUUAUCGUACCUGAACAGUGCCGAUGCCAGAAACUGUCACAAACCCUUCACCCACGGUAAGGAGCAGAGCCUGUUCUACUUCCACGAAGCCCACGAACUAGAUCUCCCAUGAUCAUCCUGUAGUCUACCAUGACGAUCACAUUGUCUACUACAAGACCUCUUCUAGCACUUCGUCAAAGCAGCGGAGUUCAAGUACAGGGACGCACCUACGUACCUUCAGUGAGCAGAGGGACUAAGUAACCCACGGUACUGAGUCGACCUCUGAAACCUACGGUCCGUGUGGAGGUAUCAGCUCGACGGUGGACGAUAGUAGUGGUUCGAUGUGUUCGAAGUCAUGUAAGCACGACCGUGGUGGUUUCGUUCUGCUGAUGUUCGUCGUUGUUCUCGUCGUCGUCGUUACGGUGGUGGUGGUGGUGGUGGUGGUGGUUGUUGUUGUUGUUGUUGUGUUCUUCUUCUGUAGGUAUCACCUUCCUCGAGGAAACAUCCUCAGUUUCGUCGUCGUCGUAAUCCACACCAGGUUGCUCGUAGUAGAUCUUAAUGACCUCGUAACUUCUUAUCCCACGUACGAAACCACCUUAGGUCGUCGUCGUCAUCGACCACCCUCAGCUUCUUUGUCGCGUCCGCAGCGCAAGCACAACGACGUUUACCACUGCCACAACUCUAACAAGCACGGCGGCGGCUCCCCUAACCCUUCGACUGCCUCAACGUAUGUGAGCCACAACACUUAUAACGUCCACCCUUUCUGUCAGAGGAUGAGGAGUUCCUCGAGCUCUUAGAAUGGGUCGACGCGUUCGAGCCCAACUGGCCGUAGUUGUCAUUUUUGACCUUCCUCAACACGCUACGGUAGAGGCCAGUGGAGGGAGUAGAGCUCAGGAACAGUGACGUUGACGACCACGACGUCCUCUUACGGCCGUCGAUACUCAAACGAACAAAACUGGCGUAGAGGCACGACGGGUUCUGGGACUUCGCGGAAUUCCAUGACAUGUGAUCAUCAGCAUUGUCACAACGUACGUAUUCCGUUUGUACCUGGUCCGAAGGGCUAGGGCAUACAAAGGUUGUACUCACCUCCCAUAGUUGACCUCUCCUGUAUCCGUACAAUAAAUCGGCCCUAUACAAUGCUUCGAGACUGGCGGGAGUACAGGUCGGCCAUCUCCUCGAAGAGUGUAAACCAGUACACGGAUGUGGACUACCAAGACUCACCUCUGGACAGCUCGUGGAGUCCAAACUGACGGUGCCGUAGGCGAGUUCCCAUUGAAAACCUGCCCGUUGAAAAAAGAGCCAACUCUGCGAGUUGUAAUUGACGACGUCUAGAACACCACCUAGCAGCACGAACACCUAACUGCCCGAUUCCAUGGAUGUACCUGAGUUCCUUCAGACACAUUGCCCUCUCAUGUCGUCGUCGAAGCGCGUUCUGAACGCGUCCGUUGAACUGUUCGUACGUUUGGUAGGACUUGACUUCUACAAUUUGAGGAGCAUCUCUAGUCAUCAUCGUCUCACUACAUACAAACAAACAAUGAUAUGAACACAUACAGCGUUAUUUAAUCGAUGUCAUGACAAACAACGUUUAAGAAAAAAAUAUCACUACCAAAAGGCAAAGUGUUUAGGUUUUUUUCGUAACCCACACACGAAGAGGACACCAAUGAACGAAAGGGUGGGUGACAGCG
rnacentral:rRNA from 1 species